rnacentral:tRNA from 1 species
CAGAGAGUAGUUUAGUUGUAAAAUGUUAGUUUUGGAGACUUAUGAUGGGAUUGUAAUCUUUUCUCUGA